GAUGAACGCUAGCUACAGGCUUAACACAUGCAAGUCGAGGGGAAACGAUAGGGAAAGCUUGCUUUUUCUAGGCGUCGACCGGCGCACGGGUGAGUAACGCGUAUCCAACCUGCCCAUCACUUGGGGAUAACCUUGCGAAAGUAAGACUAAUACCCAAUGACGUCUCUAGAAGACAUCUGAAGGAGAUUAAAGAUUUAUCGGUGAUGGAUGGGGAUGCGUCGGAAUAGCUUGUUGGCGGGGUAAAGGCCAACCAAGGCGACGAUCAGUAGGGGUUCUGAGAGGAAGGUCCCCCACAUUGGAACUGAGACACGGUCCAAACUCCUACGGGAGGCAGCAGUGAGGAAUAUUGGUCAAUGGACGAGAGUCUGAACCAGCCAAGUAGCGUGCAGGAAGACGGCCCUAUGGGUUGUAAACUGCUUUUAUAAGGGAAUAAAGUGAGUCUCGUGAGACUUUUUGCAUGUACCUUAUGAAUAAGGACCGGCUAAUUCCGUGCCAGCAGCCGCGGUAA
rnacentral:rRNA from 1 species